GGGAUCCAAUAAACAAAAUAAUUAAAAGGGCUUAGUCCCAACAACAACAAAAUACAAAUUUUUAAAUAAAUUUAGGUCGUAAUGACCCAAUUUCUUCAACUCUUCGAUUGACUCCAUAUUCGACAAUUUUGAAGACCUGCUCAUCAAAUUUGGGGUGGAAGAUUUGACAUGGAUAAUAUACGAGUCUUUAUGAUUCUCUCUUGAAAUGCGAUGGAAAAUAAGAGUUCGUGAUGAACUCGGGAAAUAUUUCACAUGCAAAACAAAGUACAGGGAAAAGGUUAAUACAU
rnacentral:misc_RNA from 1 species